AGUGAACGCUGGCGGUAGGCCUAACACAUGCAAGUCGAACGGCGGCACAGUAAGAGCUUGCUCUUACGGGUGGCGAGUGGCGGACGGGUGAGGAAUACAUCGGAAUCUACUUUUUCGUGGGGGAUAACGUAGGGAAACUUACGCUAAUACCGCAUACGACCUACGGGUGAAAGCAGUGGAUCUUCGGACCUUGCGCGAUUGAAUGAGCCGAUGUCGGAUUAGCUAGUUGGCGGGGUAAAGGCCCACCAAGGCGACGAUCCGUAGCUGGUCUGAGAGGAUGGUCAGCCACACUGGAACUGAGACACGGUCCAGACUCCUACGGGCGGCAGCAGUGGGGAAUAGUGGAAACUGGGCGCAAGCUUGCUCCAGCCAUACCGGGUGGGUGAAGCAGGCCUUCGGGUUGUAAAGCCCUUUUGUUGGGAAAGAAAAGCAGCAGGUGAAUACAACGCUGUUCUGACGGUACCCAAAGAAUAAGCACCGGCUAACUUCGUG
rnacentral:rRNA from 1 species